AGAGGUAAAGUAUAGGUAACUAAAAUGAGUACGAUACAAUAUGAGACCCCAGGGUUUAGAAUAGUUCUAUAUAUAAGAUAUAAUAAGAUUAAAUCUCUAAACCCGUCUAUAACAUUUUAGAUGGUGGUUGGGCCCAAAAGGUUAAGAGAGUUAAGUUUGCUAAGGCUAGAUUAAUCCUAGGAUAGAUGGUCCUUGGGAAGUGGAGCGUCAUAUACAAAUAACUA
rnacentral:lncRNA from 1 species